rnacentral:misc_RNA from 1 species
UUGUAUUGGGGGUUUUGAGUUUGGAAAGUGGUUCUCUUCCAACCUUUUUACGAUCGGCAGCAACCAAUCAAGAAUCUAGUCCGAAAUGGGUUCAAUCGCAACAUUCUGUCUGUACUCUCAGUUACGUGUUCACAACCCCAAAUUCCCAAAACAUAGUCUUCCCAUUUCAUCAAAGCCUCAAAUCUACGUUCAGAGACUACACCAACUCCCAUUUAAUCAAGCUAAACUUCGCAUUUCCUUUAUACUCCCUUUAUCACCCAUUCCUUACAUACCCACUUCAAAUUUCUUGAAAAGAAACAAUUUCCUGGCUAAAUUUUUAUGUGAGAAACUGCUUACUUCCCUGGUUGGGGCAUUUAUUUUCAUUGGUUCUUUCGGUUUAAAUACUAAGCCGAGUUUGGCACUACCUUCUCAAACGACUGAAUCGAGUGCAAAAAUAGAGGAAAAGAAGGAUACCCAGAAAAGUGAAGAUAAGAUGUAUGAAGAAAUUUUGAAGGGGGAACCAAGGAAUGUCGAGGUGUUGAAGGUGCUUGUGUAUGGGAUGAUAAGGAGAGGAAAGACUAAGGAAGCUUUGAAGUAUGUGGACAGAUUGAUUAAUAUUGAGCCGGAGGAAGUAGAAUGGAGGCUUUUGGAGGCACUAUGUUAUGAGAUGCUGGGGCAAUUGAGUAAGGCUAAAAGGUUGUUCAAAGAAAUCUUGGAAGAGAGGCCUCUUCUGCUUAGGGCUUUGCAUGGUCUGGCAAUGGUAAUGCACAAAAACCUUGAAGGUCCAGCUGUCUUUGAGAUGCUGAAUAAGGCUCUAGAAAUUGCUUGUCGUGAAAAAAGAGUGACUGAGGAGAGAAACAUCAGAAUUCUAAUUGCACAAAUGCAUGUUGUGAAGGGGCAACUGGAGGAGGGUUUGAAAAAAUUUCAAGAUCUGGUCAAUGAGAAUCCUCGAGAUUUUCGGCCUUAUCUUUGCCAGGGAAUAAUUUACAGUCUAUUGGAUAGAAAAAAGGAAGCUGCAGAACAGUUUGAGACAUAUCAUAGUCUCGUGCCUGAUGAAUUUCCACAAAGAGGAUUUCUUGAUGAUGUUGUGUUGGCUGCGAAAACUGAGUCUCAGGAACGGUUUCAAAAGGAGUUUGAAACUGAAUUCUCAUACAGGAAGUGAAGCAACAGCUUCUCUGAUGUUGUGCUGCAGUGAUUAAUGUUUUUUAGCUGGAAGGAUGCUUUUCAUUGUAAAUAUAAUUUAUUGGGAUGAGCAACUUCUGGAACUGAUUAGAGUUUGAUCUUAAGACAUCAAUCCUGGAGACCACAGUAUAUUGAGCCAAAGCUCGUUGGUUUUACUGUAUAAUUUUUAAUAGCAAUAUACAUAUAAAAACAUUUAGGCUUGGUAUGGUCAGAAUUUGGGAUUGACUUUCAAUUUCUUUGAAGUUAAUGCAUAACAGUGAUCUAUUGUAAUUAAUUGAUGCAAAGCAGAAUCCCUGUUUCCCAGUUGGGUUAUUUUCGAUGAGAAUGGUACAAUUGGGAGAAGUGUUUU